rfam:Triticum aestivum genome assembly, contig: Triticum_aestivum_CS42_TGACv1_scaffold_382721_5AL
AAAGUACUCCCUCCGUCCAAAAAUUCUUGUCUCAGAUUUGUCUAGAUACGGAUGUAUCAAGUCACAUUUUAGUUAGAUACAUCUGUAUCUAGACAAAUCUAAUACGAGAAAUUUGGGACAGAGGGAGUAGUUG